GCCGGCCAAGGCGCGAAGCAAGUAAUGCGCAGACGCACAAUACGUCUGCUGCAUGAGAACUACAGCCAGAGAAAGCUAGUGCGCCUGCGCAACGGGUCUGUCCCAGAGUUGGAGACGUGUCCUCUUUUUGUCCUGUUUCCGCCGGCAGGUGUUCUGCAGGAACUAAUGCCCCCAAUCCAGGGGGAGGAUGGUGACUACAUGCUGAACACAAGCUCAUAGACCCCAGACUGGUUGGAACCAGAAGGCUGAUGAUUAAAAUUCCUGAAACCUCACCCUGUUAGCUCACCACCAACCAAUCAGAAGAAAGUCAUGCACCUUGUAACCCUCACCUCAAAUGUUGCCUUUAAGAAUG
ensembl:lncRNA